UGUUCUGUGACUGAAUUGGUUGAAGCGCCGGUCUAGCCAAUCGGAAUCGUGGGUUCGAAUCUCAUCAGAAAAC
rfam:Aedes albopictus isolate Foshan contig34085, whole genome shotgun sequence.